GGAGGCCAAGGCAAGAGGAUCUUUUGAGCCUAGGAGUUAGAGACCAGCAUGGGCAACAUAGAGAGACUCCCCACCAAAAAUACAGAACAUAAAAGGAAACCCGGACCCACAUCCUACUCUGCUAGCACAUGGACCUCAGAUAAGGGGGAACAGAGGACUGUUCCCAAACCAACCAUUCUUUUUUAAAAAUUUCUUCCUGAGGAGCCUGGAGAAGGUCACACUCAUGAACCACAGGAUGCUCACCUUUGGAACCUAACCACAAUGUUGUCAGGAAAGAGGAAGCACAGUGGGCUGUUUUUAUGACAACUCCAGCUAAGGCCUUAGCUGACAACAAGCAUCAACUGGCAGACAUGAGUGAGAAAGCCUUCAGAGGAUUCCAGUCCCUAGCUUUCAGGCCACUGCAGCUGACACUAAAUGGCGUACAGAUUAGCUCUCCCCAUUGAGCUUUGCUCAUUGCAGUUUCAUAAGCAAAAUAAAUGUUGUCAUUGUUUUAUGCUACUCAGUGUUUGGAAUAAUUUCUUAUGAAGCAAUGACAACCCAGAAUCACAGUAGCACAGGUAUACUCAUGUAAGCAAAGUAAUGCAUACUGUGCUGGAACGUGAUUCUGAUUACUAAUUUAGCGUUUCAGAAGAAUAACUGAUCAAUAAGGACCAGGCACA
rnacentral:lncRNA from 1 species